AGAGAGAGAGAGCAAGAGAGGGGGGAGGAGGACUGUGCACAAUGUUCAUUCAAACUGACAGAGGCUGUGUGUGUCCUGGUUUGUACUUCCCAUUGCUCCACAGUCAGUCUCUCUCUCUCUCUCUCUCUCGCUCUCUCUCUCUCGCGCGCGCGCGCCAGACAGUCUGCAGUUUACAGCAGCAGUAGGAAGACACCGGAGAGGAAGAAAGAAAGGGAAAGAGUGUGACUAACGGCAGACAAGGAAGAGAAGGGUAAGAAACAAGUAGAAGGGAGGAAGAGUAGGGAUUUGGGGAAGACAAGAUGAGUGAAAGAUGUGAACAGAGGAAGAAAAAGAGUGGCGGCUUGGGAGGGGUCAAAAUAUGGUUAAAGAUAGAGGAAUGCAGAGAAAGAGGGAUGAAGACACCACUGCUCUUUCAAAAGAUAAUGUGAGGCAUGAAUGUGUGGCAUGUCUUAUCUGUGCGUUCUCUGUGUGUAUGGAGGUCACGAGGUCCUGAGCCAUGGGUGUUAAAGAGGAGUGGGGUUGUCUCAGUCGAUGGUGGUCGGCAUGAGUCCUAAAGGAAAGCCUCACCAAGAAGAAAAUUCAUGAUGCUUUUUGUUUCAAUUUGAAAGGCCGACCUUUCAAAUAAAGCUGUAACUACAUGUUGAGCCCUGUGUUAUCAAGAUGUCAGCUGUUAAGUGCAGGUUUGCGGUCCUCUCCAUCACUGGCCCAAGUGUAUGUGCACCUGCAGAGCUCUUGUCUCUUCAUGUUCCCGCCCCCUGGGUCGGCCCGGUCAGUGACGGCCACUGGAGGACCUCGCUGUCAGUCAGAGUGUUUCGAGUCUCGGGGAACAUUCAACGCUGUCGAAAUCCACGGGAACAGGUUUCAGCUGCUCAGAAAGCCUUAUGUGGACUAUCUUGACUGCUCUGAUCUAAUCUGACUGGCGCUGACCAACUCUAUUUUAAGGGUUGGGACUAAGACCCGGUUGACAGUACAUCAUGCAAAUGAAGCUCUAGUCUUCAUCAACUCAUCAUUCUAUCAGCCUCAUCAGCACCAGGUCUGGACUCCACGGGGGGUUUAUCUUGAUGCCCCUCAAGGCAGACACCUCUCCAUUAUAACCCCUAUAGAGUCUAAGUGCCAAAGACUGUCAAGUCUUUAUCAUCACAUAUCAUCUGUUAAUAAUAAACUAUUAUCUUUUC